UACGGAGGGUGCAAACGUUGCUCGGAAUCAUUGGGCGUAAAGCGCACGUAGGCGGCCUAUUAAGUCGGAUGUGAAAGCCCCGGGCUCAACCCGGGAAGUGCAUACGAAACUGGUAGGCUUGAAUAUGGAAGAGGGUCGCGGAAUUCCCGGUGUAGAGGUGAAAUUCGUAGAUAUCGGGAGGAACACCAGUGGCGAAGGCGGCGACCUGGGCCAAUAUUGACGCUGAGGUGCGAAAGCGUGGGGAGCAAACAGG
rnacentral:rRNA from 1 species